CGCUCCUCAUCUUCACCUUCGCUCACCACUCACCAUCACCACUCCUCAUCUUCGUCGCUCACCACUCACCGAGACAUUGAAGUUCUUCUCUCUCUCAAAGAAAAACCCUAGCCGCUGUUCUCUUUUUCAAGCUGUGUCGCCGCCGUCGAAUCUGGUCCAGCCGCCGUCCCCGCUCCUACUGCUCCAGCGCCGUCGCAACUUCUCUUUAUCAUUGCGUUGCGUCGCCUCUGUUCCACUGCUGUUGUUUGUUCCAGUUCCGUCGCCUGUGCUCCACUGCUCCCUCUCCCUCAUCUUGGUUUGAGUUCUGUCCUGCAUCUGAGUUGCAUCCAAAAAAAGUUCAGGAAAAGUUCCUUCAAGAGAGGAUUAAGGUUGGUGGCAAAGCCGGUGCUCUUGGUGAUUCUGUCAGGCUCCUGUGAGAAGAACAAGAGAGGAUUAAGGGUUAAUGCAGAUAAUUAACUGAAGUGCUGAAGCCAAUUUAUAUCCUGGUGCAAUAAUUUCGACACUUCAAAUUACAGAGACAAUUGGAUACUUACUUUCUCCUUGCUCACAUGUGCUCUGUCAAGCUUAAAGAAUGGACGCUUGUCCUGCUUACUCUGUUAAGAAGUUCUAAGGUGUUUUUUGACUUAUUAAGACAUGAUGUUCGGCUGUGAAAAGCAUGCAGCACCACACUGCAGUUCCUUGUAUCUGUCCAUUGUAGACUCAUUCAAGAUUUAUUGGAAGAGAAAAACUUUGCAACGAUGGAAGAUAUAUGAAGGUGAAUGCAGACUUCAUCUUUGCUCGAUGUACAUCAUGUUUUCUUGCUGACAAAGUUAUAUGUUCGAGUGGUUUCCUUCACGUGGAUCUACUUGAAAGAUCUGAUGGGUUUUAUUCAAACAUAUGGACCAUGGUUAACCAUGGUUUUCAUCACAAGUCAUUUUUCUGGUGCUAAUCUCAUGAAUAUGCCAUAGUUUGUGUGGUCAGACAAGUGCAUAUAUUUUUGAGGUGUGGAUUAUUCUCUUCAUUUUUCCAUCCAAAUUUUGUAACUUUUUUUUUCUUUCUGAUUUUGUAAAAUAUGAACAGACCCAUUUGUAUAUAAUAUAUUGGUUAUGCCCCUGGUACAUCAGCAUUCAUAGUGAAAUUUAUUGCUUAUGCAAAACCUUUUUUUAUCA